rnacentral:rRNA from 2 species
UGAGGAAUAUUGGGCAAUGGGGGCAACCCUGACCCAGCCAUGCCGCGUGAGUGAAGAAGGUUUUCGGAUUGUAAAGCUCUUUCGGAUGUGAAGAUGAUGACGGUAGCAUCUAAAGAAGCCCCGGCAAACUUCGUGCCAGCAGCCGCGGUAAUACGAAGGGGGCGAGCGUUGUUCGGAAUUACUGGGCGUAAAGGGUGUGUAGGCGGUUUAGUAAGAUAGUGGUGAAAUACCUGAGCUCAACUUAGGAAUUGCCAUUAUAACUAUUGGACUUGAAUUACAGAGAGGAUAGCGGAAUACCCAGUGUAGAGGUGAAAUUCGUAGAUAUUGGGUAGAACACCGGUGGCGAAGGCGGCUAUCUGGCUGUAAAUUGACGCUGAGGCACGAAAGCAUGGGGAUCAAACAGG